ACAUUUUUAAUACACUUAAUCACUUAACUGUCUCCUAAGGAGAAGAUCCCUCCUGCUCCCUUGUGCUCUCCCUGCGCACCGAGAGCGAUUCACAACUUCUGACACCGCACAAACACACUGGGCACGGCGCGCUGAGGCCGACAACGAGAGGGUUUACUUGGGCAACACCACGCAGAAGACGGCAAGAACCCAUCCGUCUGCAGCGAGAUAAAUGCCUUUGGCCAGCCAUAUGCCUGAAGCAAACAAAGUGCCUUAUUUAUUUGUGCCUUAAAGACCAGGACCACCAGAAAGCCUGAAAUUAGAAACUUUGGAAGCAUGAAGUGUGUGCUGGAGGGAGGAAUGUAUGGCAUAAGUAGAUGGAGACUGCCAGUGAUUGCUGGAUCUUUCCUUCUCCAG
rnacentral:lncRNA from 1 species